rnacentral:rRNA from 5 species
AGCCCUUGUUCUAAAGAU